UACAGAGGUCCCAAGCGUUGUUCGGAUUCACUGGGCGUAAAGGGUGCGUAGGCGGUCGGGUAAGUCUGACGUGAAAUCUUCAAGCUCAACUUGGAAACUGCGUCCGAUACUAUUCGGCUAGAGGAAUGGAGGGGAGACUGGAAUACUUGGUGUAGCAGUGAAAUGCGUAGAUAUCAAGUGGAACACCAGUGGCGAAGGCGAGUCUCUGGACAGUUCCUGACGCUGAUGAGCGAAAGCCAGGGGAGCAAACGGG
rnacentral:rRNA from 1 species